CGUAAUGGUUGUUAUUGUUUCCGGCCCCUCAAUUUUCAACAAAAAUAUAAUUUUUUAGACAUAAAAAUAAGAAAAAUUUAGAUUAAAAUUUAUUUAACAAUUACAAUUUUUUAACAAAAAAAUUUUUUUUUUAAAAAAAGUUGCAGAAUUUUUAUUUUAUAUUCACAAUUCUUUAAGGGGUUAUGCCACUCUAGGAUUUUCAAAAAAUCGCUUUUUUUUUUUUUGCUUUAAAUAGUUCCUUAGGGUCUCAGAAAUAACAUAUUGCAGGAUUAUGGCUCGGAAAAAUCUCUAAAUAAUUUAUUUUCGAAGUUCCUUGCAAGGCUGCACGGUACGCGGCGAGCUCAUUUUGUCAGUUCUACGGGGGGUGAUCUUUGAAGGAUCUACAGCAGGUAUACGGCAGAUGUUUUCAAAGGCGCUAGUUACUUGCUAGACUAUAGUGGUCAAUUAUAUGGUGCAGGCAUUGCAGAUUAAAGGAGCAGUUAGUUCGGCCACGUACCCCUUGAACCAUAGAGGAGUCGAAGGACGACCGCUACAGCGCCACCAUUCUUCAAGAAAUAUUUAUAAGAAAUUAUUUUUUUACACCUAAAAAGAUGUAUAAUAAACUUCUUAUAUUAUAUUUUUAA